GCGAAAGUAGCUCAGUUGGUAGAGCGACGGCUUCCCAAGCCGUAGGUCGCGGGUUCGAAUCCCGUCUUUCGCUCUA
rnacentral:tRNA from 1 species